GAGAGCCCGCCCUUCUCUCCCUCUGACAGCUUGGUGAUGAGGGCACACGUGCCCACUACAGCAAAGCUAUAAAUAGCAGAUUUUGGAGCUGGUAACGAGGCGGUAACAACAGGGGCCGAGUUGUUGGGAGCAUAGCUUGCUUAAUGGGGAGCAGGGGAGGGGGAUGCGAAGCCAGGAAGACUGAAGUGCUGUGGAGUACCUCCUUUAUCAGGCAUGAAGCUGGGCACUGAAGAUUUAGAUUCCUGACAUAUGAUCCUGCCCACAGGAAGCUUACAGUAAAGCAACCUUCUGAAGAAGAAAACAUUUCCUCAAAUUGCACUAUUGGAGGUAUUCAGGCUACUGGAACUCUAAGAGUGAUCAUGCCAUGAUUCCAAACUCUGGCUCCAAAGCCCUUGUGUUUCUUCUUUUUGCCAACCUGAACUGCCUCUGACUUUGUUGUUGUACCCCUGAGGACUUAUUUCUGUGGAUAAAAAUUAAAUCUCCAAAGCACCUGUGUGGC